rnacentral:ncRNA from 2 species
AUGUGGUACGAAAGGAGAGAAGGUUAGCACUCACCUUCAGAAAGAUGGACAAAGUCCUCGUGGCCUUUACAACACAUAUACCGUUAAGGCACUUGAUAGCAUCUAAACAUGCUCUCUGG